rnacentral:rRNA from 1 species
AGUGAACGCUGGCGGUAGGCCUAACACAUGCAAGUCGAACGGCAGCACAGUAAGAGCUUGCUCUUACGGGUGGCGAGUGGCGGACGGGUGGGGAAUACAUCGGAAUCUACUUUUUCGUGGGGGAUAACGUAGGGAAACUUACGCUAAUACCGCAUACGACCUACGGGGGAAAGCAGGGGAUCUUCGGACCUUGCGCGAUUGAAUGAGCCGAUGUCGGAUUAGCUAGUUGGCGGGGUAAAGGCCCACCAAGGCGACGAUCCGUAGCUGGUCUGAGAGGAUGAUCAGCCACACUGGAACUGAGACACGGUCCAGACUCCUACGGGAGGCAGCAGUGGGGAAUAUUGGACAAUGGGCGCAAGCCUGAUCCAGCCAUACCGCGUGGGUGAAGAAGGCCUUCGGGUUGUAAAGCCCUUUUGUUGGGAAAGAAAAGCAGCAGGUUAAUACCCCGCUGUUCUGACGGUACCCAAAGAAUAAGCACCGGCUAACUUCGUG